GACGAAGGAUGUAAGCGUUAUCCGGAUUCAUUGGGUUUAAAGGGAGCGUAGGUGGCCUUAUAAGUCAGUGGUGAAAUCUCUCGGCUUAACCGAGAAAAUUGCCAUUGAUACUGUAGGGCUUGAGUAUAGUUGCCGUUGGCGGAAUAUGACAUGUAGUGGUGAAAUACAUAGAGAUGUCAUAGAACACCGAUUGCGAAGGCAGCUGACGAAACUAUAACUGACACUGAGGCUCGAAAGUGCGGGGAUCGAAACAGG
rnacentral:rRNA from 1 species